rnacentral:rRNA from 1 species
GGUUAAGCGACUAAGCGUACACGGUGGAUGCCCUGGCAGUCAGAGGCGAUGAAGGACGUGCUAAUCUGCGAUAAGCGUCGGUAAGGUGAUAUGAACCGUUAUAGCCGGCGAUUUCCGAAUGGGGAAACCCAGUGUGUUUCGACACACUAUCAUUACGUGAAUACAUAGCGUAAUGAAGCGAACCGGGGAACUGAAACAUCUAAGUACCCCGAGGAAAAGAAAUCAACCGAGAUUCCCCCAGUAGCGGCGAGCGAACGGGGAGCAGCCCAGAGUCUGAAUCAGCUUGUGUGUUAGUGGAACGGUCUGGAAAGUCCGACGGUACAGGGUGAUAGUCCCGUACACCAAAAUGCACAGGUUGUGAACUCGAAGAGUAGGGCGGGACACGUGGUAUCCUGUCUGAAUAUGGGGGGACCAUCCUCCAAGGCUAAAUACUCCUGACUGACCGAUAGUGAACCAGUACCGUGAGGGAAAGGCGAAAAGAACCCCGGCGAGGGGAGUGAAAAAGAACCUGAAACCGUGUACGUACAAGCAGUGGGAGCCUCUUUAUGGGGUGACUGCGUACCUUUUGUAUAAUGGGUCAGCGACUUAUAUUCUGUAGCAAGGUUAACCGUAUAGGGGAGCCGAAGGGAAACCGAGUCUUAACUGGGCGUUAAGUUGCAGGGUAUAGACCCGAAACCCGGUGAUCUAGCCAUGGGCAGGUUGAAGGUUGGGUAACACUAACUGGAGGACCGAACCGACUAAUGUUGAAAAAUUAGCGGAUGACUUGUGGCUGGGGGUGAAAGGCCAAUCAAACCGGGAGAUAGCUGGUUCUCCCCGAAAGCUAUUUAGGUAGCGCCUCGUGAACUCAUCUUCGGGGGUAGAGCACUGUUUCGGCUAGGGGUCAUCCCGACUUACCAACCCGAUGCAAACUGCGAAUACCGAAGAAUGUUAUCACGGGAGACACACGGCGGGUGCUAACGUCCGUCGUGAAGAGGGAAACAACCCAGACCGCCAGCUAAGGUCCCAAAGUCAUGGUUAAGUGGGAAACGAUGUGGGAAGGCACAGACAGCCAGGAUGUUGGCUUAGAAGCAGCCAUCAUUUAAAGAAAGCGUAAUAGCUCACUGGUCGAGUCGGCCUGCGCGGAAGAUGUAACGGGGCUAAACCAUGCACCGAAGCUGCGGCAGCGACAUUAUGUGUUGUUGGGUAGGGGAGCGUUCUGUAAGCCGUUGAAGGUGUAUCGUGAGGUAUGCUGGAGGUAUCAGAAGUGCGAAUGCUGACAUAAGUAACGAUAAUGCGGGUGAAAAACCCGCACGCCGGAAGACCAAGGGUUCCUGUCCAACGUUAAUCGGGGCAGGGUGAGUCGACCCCUAAGGCGAGGCCGAAAGGCGUAGUCGAUGGGAAACAGGUUAAUAUUCCUGUACUUGGUGUUACUGCGAAGGGGGACGGAGAAGGCUAUGUUAGCCGGGCGACGGUUGUCCCGGUUUAAGCAUGUAGGCGGAGGUUCCAGGUAAAUCCGGUACCUUUUUAACGCUGAGGUGUGAUGACGAGGCACUACGGUGCUGAAGUAACAAAUGCCCUGCUUCCAGGAAAAGCCUCUAAGCAUCAGGUAACACGAAAUCGUACCCCAAACCGACACAGGUGGUCAGGUAGAGAAUACCAAGGCGCUUGAGAGAACUCGGGUGAAGGAACUAGGCAAAAUGGUGCCGUAACUUCGGGAGAAGGCACGCUGAUAUGUAGGUGAAGUGAUUUACUCAUGGAGCUGAAAUCAGUCGAAGAUACCAGCUGGCUGCAACUGUUUAUUAAAAACACAGCACUGUGCAAACACGAAAGUGGACGUAUACGGUGUGACGCCUGCCCGGUGCCGGAAGGUUAAUUGAUGGGGUUAUCCGUAAGGAGAAGCUCUUGAUCGAAGCCCCGGUAAACGGCGGCCGUAACUAUAACGGUCCUAAGGUAGCGAAAUUCCUUGUCGGGUAAGUUCCGACCUGCACGAAUGGCGUAAUGAUGGCCAGGCUGUCUCCACCCGAGACUCAGUGAAAUUGAACUCGCUGUGAAGAUGCAGUGUACCCGCGGCAAGACGGAAAGACCCCGUGAACCUUUACUAUAGCUUGACACUGAACACUGGUCCUUGAUGUGUAGGAUAGGUGGGAGGCUUUGAAGUGUGGACGCCAGUCUGCAUGGAGCCAUCCUUGAAAUACCACCCUUUAAUGGCUGGUGUUCUAACGUGGACCCGUUACCCGGGUUGCGGACAGUGUCUGGUGGGUAGUUUGACUGGGGCGGUCUCCUCCUAAAGAGUAACGGAGGAGCACGAAGGUUAGCUAAUCCUGGUCGGACAUCAGGAGGUUAGUGCAAAGGCAUAAGCUAGCUUGACUGCGAGAGUGACGGCUCGAGCAGGUGCGAAAGCAGGUCUUAGUGAUCCGGUGGUUCUGAAUGGAAGGGCCAUCGCUCAACGGAUAAAAGGUACUCCGGGGAUAACAGGCUGAUACCGCCCAAGAGUUCAUAUCGACGGCGGUGUUUGGCACCUCGAUGUCGGCUCAUCACAUCCUGGGGCUGAAGUAGGUCCCAAGGGUAUGGCUGUUCGCCAUUUAAAGUGGUACGCGAGCUGGGUUUAGAACGUCGUGAGACAGUUCGGUCCCUAUCUGCCGUGGGCGCUGGAGAAUUGAGGGGGCUGCUCCUAGUACGAGAGGACCGGAGUGGACGCAUCACUGGUGUUCGGGUUGUCAUGCCAAUGGCAUUGCCCGGUAGCUAAAUGCGGAAGAGAUAAGUGCUGAAAGCAUCUAAGCACGAAACUUGCCCCGAGAUGAGUUCUCCCUGAGACUAUAAGUCUCCUGAAGGAACGUUGAAGACGACGACGUUGAUAGGUCGGGUGUGUAAGUGUAGCGAUACAUUGAGCUAACCGAUACUAAUGAACCGUGAGGCUUAACCUU